rnacentral:piRNA from 1 species
UGGCUAUCAGCACUUAUAACUCUGCACGUG